CCUACGGGAGGCAGCAGUGGGGAAUUUUGGACAAUGGGCGCAAGCCUGAUCCAGCAAUGCCGCGUGCAGGAUGAAGGCCUUCGGGUUGUAAACUGCUUUUGUACGGAACGAAACGGUGAGCUCUAAUACAGUUUGCUAAUGACGGUACCGUAAGAAUAAGCACCGGCUAACUACGUGCCAGCAGCCGCGGUAAUACGUAGGGUGCGAGCGUUAAUCGGAAUUACUGGGCGUAAAGCGUGCGCAGGCGGUGAUGUAAGACAGAUGUGAAAUGCCCGGGCUCAACCUGGGACCUGCAUUUGUGACUGCAUCGCUAGAGUACGGUAGAGGGGGAUGGAAUUCCGCGUGUAGCAGUGAAAUGCGUAGAUAUGCGGAGGAACACCGAUGGCGAAGGCAAUCCCCUGGACCUGUACUGACGCUCAUGCACGAAAGCGUGGGGAGCAAACAGGAUUAGAUACCCUGGUAGUCCACGCCCUAAACGAUGUCAACUGGUUGUUGGGUCUUCACUGACUCAGUAACGAAGCUAACGCGUGAAGUUGACCGCCUGGGGAGUACGGCCGCGAAGGUUGAAACUCAAAGGAAUUAGACGGCGUUGAGACGNGCGAGGACGACACGAGGGAGGAGG
rnacentral:rRNA from 1 species